rfam:Nicotiana attenuata strain TT chromosome 10, whole genome shotgun sequence.
UAUAAUAUUCUAUGUAAGAUUAUAAAAUUAGAAUGACACAGAGAAGAUUAGCACGGCCCUUGGGCAAGGAUGACGCGCACAAUUUGAGAAAUGGUCCAUAUUUCU